CAGCCUUGUGGCAGCCCCAGCUCCAUCUGGAACAGGAGAGCAAGCAGGGUGCCCUGUGCUGGGCUGAGCCACACAGCCACUGCUGGGGCAGCCAGUGAGGGAGUAGAAGACAGAGGCCUACCUGAUAAAAGAAACAACCCCUACAAAAUGCAUAAGGACUUCAUAUUUUUAAGACCCCCUAGCACUUUGACAAAUUUGAUUGAGAGCGGCCAGCGGCUUACAAAGUUAGUGGGGAACAGAAGCUGACAGAUAGUGUUGAGCAAGAAAGAAAAGAGAAAUCCAAUGGUGAUUAUAAAGACAGUUAUUAACAACUGUCAUGCACACAUGUAAACUACUAGCAUGUUUUAACUAGAAGGCUAAGCAGGAUCUGUCUAACUAGUAAUUCCAGCCUGAAUGCACUCAGCAGUCCCACACCAGGACUCACAGUUAUAAUGUAAUUCUGCCCCCAGCUGGUUAAGACAUAGCUGACAUAGGAGACUGAAAGGGAGAGAAUAUUGAACCUAUGAACUCUGCUUCUUCUCAGAUGAUGACUACAAUUUGCAUGCAAAGUAUCAGCAGCUUUACUGUUCAGCACAGGUGCUAAUAGAUUCUAAGUUCUUUAUGUAUAAUUGCAGCCCAUCCUUAUCUCCCAGGGAAGAAGAAAAACAAAGGAAAAAGAAAAGUAAGGCAAUAGAAAAGCAGGGUGAUGAGUUAUUAUUAUUACCUUUUGAAACAAAAGCUUUCAUUCACCCUUCAACCUCUUGCCACUAUCUUCUAUCAUAUUUCAGGACAUCUCUUCUGAUGCAGCAGAAGAAUAGAUUACAAAUACCUUCAAAUUCAUCUAACUUACUUUCUAUUCCAUAUAUCACCUUUUCAUAUGCAGCUGUUUCUGUCACAUCAGCAAUCCACUACCUUAGUAACAGUCCUGGUGCAUCCUCUCAGGUUCUUGUUUUCAACACUGUGAGACUAAAGGGGUCAACGUCAUGAAGCUUAGCCCCUGUAUUUAGGCUCUGUAUAUUCAAAUAGAUAAGACUGGCAAGAAAAUAUGGUGUAAGUGGAAACAAGACAAAAAGAAAGAAAAUGGAAAAAGUUAUGCUGAAAAAAAAAUAAAAUAAGUCUAGAUUUUAGCAUCUAAGCUUCAGUGCAAAGUACAAACAAAAUGAAAUGGUCCCUCUAGUAGAGUCCCACUGGGUGAUACAGAGUCUGGUAACUGCUGCUUUGCAGUUUCCUGCUGUCUCCAUUUCCUGGCAUCCUAAGUGAGCUCAGAGGAGAGGACAGCCUCAAGAACAUAUGGUCUGCCUGAGACCUGCAGAAACUGAGAAGACCGAACUGGACAUUGUGAAAUUUUGCAGAGGGUUAUAGCAAUAUAAGUAUUAAAUGAAUCUAGGAAGUGUACACCUCAAGAAGGUGGAAUUACAAAGCAGAACAGCUACUGAGGGUGCACAUUACUGAAGCAAGGGGAUAUGACAAUUCAACCCAUAUCCCUUGACAAAAAAUCUCUGGCAUAGGUUUGGGAAGAGGACAGAAAGAGGAGGAACAUUGUUUGGAGGUGGGUGAGGCACAGGUCCAGUAGGUGCGAAUGACUUAAAGAAUGGUGCAAACUCACCAGAUUACUCAUUGAUGAAGUACUGACCACAAGCUGAGAAUAUCAAAAUAGAAGCGUAAACACAUGCCUGAAGUAGGAAGCAGUAGACCUAGCCAGCCACACCGUGAAAUGACUGGGUAUCACAUAUUUAUCAGAGGCAGGGUGGUACAACAUGGCUGGGUUUUGUACCUACUGGAUGGGGUGUGGAACCCUGGUCAAUAUUUGCUAACUCCGAGGACACAAUUACCCUAUGCCCAAUAUACAAAACUUUUGAAAUCCUCCUAUAGUUGCUUUUAAAGGUUUAAUUUCUUUUUCGCAUUUCCCUAACAGCAACAGUACUGAUUUGCAAUGUUCUCCAGAAAAUAAAUAAAUGAAUAAAUAAAUAAAUAAAACAUGUUGCAGGUGAGCUUUUUCCUUGCAUUCCAUAGCAGCUGGAAUUUCUUUGUUUUCCUCCACCUUUUGCUUGUCACAUAGCAGCACUUAUGAAAAGUGUCCAAUGAAGUAAGCACUGGAAAAAAUAUCCUCUCCAUUGUCCUUUUUUAAAAAUUAUCUUCAUUGCACCUUUGAUUAGAAAGGAUCAGGAGGCAAAGCUAGGGGAGGGUCUGAGCACACCCUAAAGAUAUUCAGAACAAAACUCGUGACAAACAGCCAGGCUAUGAACUACUGUGUCUGCAGAGGAAAAAUAUUAAUAAUAAUUAAAAAAAAAAAAAAUAA